rnacentral:rRNA from 1 species
UACGAAAGGGGCUAGCGUUGUUCGGAAUUACUGGGCGUAAAGCGCACGUAGGCGGCUUGGCAAGUUGGGGGUGAAAUCCCCGGGCUCAACCCGGGAACUGCCUUCAAAACUGCUUGGCUAGAGGAUGCGAGAGGUUGGCGGAAUUCCGAGUGUAGAGAUGAAAUUCGUAGAUAUUCGGAAGAACACCAGUGGCGAAGGCGGCCAACUGGCGCAUGUCUGACGCUGAGGUGCGAAAGCGUGGGGAGCAAACAGG